UCCAGGAACUCCUGGUGCCGCCUGGGCCGAUGGAUUGGACGCCCCAGCCCCUCCGUUCCUGCCCAGCCACUGGGUCCGUGUCCAGUGGUGGCACUGCCAGCCCUGCAGGUGAAGUGGGAAGGGCCUUUCCAGGUCUUGUGGGUCACAUUUAUAGCAGCUGAAGUUGCAGAAAAAGGACCUGGGGUCUCUUCUUCUUGAGUUCAGAAAGCUCCUUUUGAUUGGUGAGCAGGACAAAGUGGAUCCUUCAGAGUUCCCAUCCGUGUUUGUGUCUCAGCCUGUGUUAGGAUUCAGGGCUGUAGCUGUUGUUGUCACUGAGGAGUCAAACUCUGCUUUAAAUCAUGAGACACUGGCCUAAUGGCCAAGUGUCAGGAAAAAAGGGGGAAUGCUCUCUGAGUGUUGAGAUGUAACAAGAGCUGAUCCUUUUUGCAGUGGGAUGUAGCCUGGAAAGUGCACAGAGCUGAGCUAAGGGAUUGAAAGGGACCAAGCAAGGGAGGUGAAGAAAGAAGGAAGAAGGGAAGUGAGGCAGCAGCCAAGCAGCACCAAGUUGCAGUGUAAGCAGUGGGAUGUACCCUAGAAACUCCAUGGAGCUGAGCCAAGGGAUUUAGAGGGACUAAGCAAGCGAAGUAAAGAAAGAAUGAAGAAGGGAACUGAGAGAGCAGCCAAGCAGCACCAAGUUCCUCUACAACCAGGGAAUAACUCCUGUCAGCAGCAAGGUCCUGACUGAAGUGGCAGCUGCAGUUGUUCCUGUUGUGUGGGCCAGUGGACUUCCAGGAGGGUGGAAGAGGGUAGAACUUGUAGGUAUUACCCCUAAUGUGGGAUCUAUAUGGGUAGGGCCAAGCCAGUGUCCUUUAAAAUCAGAAUGCCAGCUUGGAUUGGUUGCAGUAACAGCUGAAUUUGCUCAUCCUGGUUUGCUUGUAGGACGUGAAUGCAAGAACCUGCCAAGGAACCAAUGACCAAGAUGAUUGAUGAGUGCAGGACCUGAGAGAAGCACCUUGAAUGACAACCUCGAGCUGUUUCCAGUAUUGGAUUG